GACGAACGCUGGCGGCGUGCUUAACACAUGCAAGUCGAACGGAAAGGCCCUGCUUUUGUGGGGUGCUUGAGUGGCGAACGGGUGAGUAACACGUGAGUAACCUGCCCUUGACUUUGGGUUAACUUCAGGAAACUGGGGCUAAUACCGGAUAGGAGCUCCUGCUGCAUGGUGGGGGUUGGAAAGUUUCGGCGGUUGGGGAUGGACUCGCGGCUUAUCAGCUUGUUGGUGGGGUAGUGGCUUACCAAGGCUUUGACGGGUAGCCGGCCUGAGAGGGUGACCGGCCACAUUGGGACUGAGAUACGGCCCAGACUCCUACGGGAGGCAGCAGUGGGGAAUAUUGCACAAUGGGCGGAAGCCUGAUGCAGCAACGCCGCGUGCGGGAUGACGGCCUUCGGGUUGUAAACCGCUUUCGCCUGUGACGAAGCGUGAGUGACGGUAAUGGGUAAAGAAGCACCGGCUAACUACGUG
rnacentral:rRNA from 1 species